GCUCCUUGAAGAGGUGGACGGGGCACCCUCCGCCGCCUCCUCCUUCGGCCAGUUCCUGCAGGCUCCCGGCCUCCGCGGGGCCCAGCUCCCGGGACCGCGCCAGGCCUCCCUCCAAAACUUCCCGGUAUCUCCCCCCCCUCUCUCUUUCUCUCUUUCUCCCCGUCUCUCUGUUUUCCUGUCAAUGGCUUGCAAGGACCCAAUGGACGGCCGAUGAAGGAGAAGAAGCCUUGCCGAACCGAUCCUGACCCGGGAAGGACAGGAAAGACGCACAGAGUCUGGUUGUUCAAUAAAAACAAAGGACCUGGAAGAGGACACAAACUUGGCCGGGCCCCGGAGGUCCACUUCCCAGGCCCCACGCCCUGCCUCCCAUUGGGACCCCAGAGCGGUCUGCUCCGGAGAAGGCCCCCGGGGUUUGAAUGGGGCUUGCUCCGAGGGAAGGGGAGGCUGGGCGGGCUUUCGGGGCCUCCCACGACCUGCUUCCUCUUCUUCGUCUCUGAUGUCGCCUGAAGACACGCGGGAAAGGAAGGCCAGAUGCGUCUCUUUCUCUGGUCCUUCCAUCGAUCCCAUCGAUUUCUACCGACCUGCCCCGAGGGCUUGUCAGAGUGGGAACUAACGGAGACAGCCAGCUUCCUGAGGACGUUUGGCAUUACUGUAAGUCAGAAACUACAACUUCGCACCAAGAAGAGACUGAGACUGUCGAGGAGUAAAGUAGUUCCCCGGAUUGUGUGAAGCUUCGGCAUUUCCAUUCCCUUUCUAUGGGCCCCUUCCACACAGUUGAAUAAAAUCCCAGAUUAUCUGCUUUGAACUGGAAUAUAUGGCAAUGUGGACUCAGAUAUCCCAGUUCAAAGCAGAUAUUGUGGGAUUUUCUGCCUCGGUUAUAUGGCUGCGUGGAAGGGCCCUAUGGCGAAUAACAAAAAAAACCCCGCAUUUUAACUAAACCAUGCAAGACUGCCGUCUUAAUCCAGCCUCUAGCCUUGCCUGCUCGUUGCUUUGAGCGUGGCUGCAUCGCCUGGUGGCGUUUGGCACUUUCCAAGCUCCAGCAAAAACCGAAAGAAGGAGACAAACUCUAACCCUCUUUCCUCUCUUGGCUACAGAAAAUUAUUUUGCCCGGCCCUGAGAGCAUUCAACGAUUGAUGAAUCACUGAGAAGUCGUGCUUAAUUGAUAAUGUUAAACUCCUAUAAAACAAAAACAGCUUAGCUUCGUGGAAUGGCCUUACCAAGCCUUUCUUUCUCAAACCAGCCCAUUCUUCUAAUUACCUUCGGGAGAUCCAGCGGCUGGAGCAAUAUUUAGACGAAGAAGGAAGUCGCCUGUAUUGUCUCCUUUAUUUUUAAACUGAUCUUGUGUUUCCAAAAAUCCGCAGAUUAGUGCCUCUGAUAAAGUCAUUUUAAGGCUCUUACAAAGUAUAUCCAUUUUAUUCCUAUGUUUUUGUCUUCUUUUGUAAACAGAGCUUUUAAAGGACUCUGCUGCUAAACCUGCGCCGGACUCCAUCCUUGAGGCAGAGGACUUGAAGCCAAGGAAAGGGUGUCCUCAAAGAUGUGCAGACGGCUUUCUCCCGACCACAAACCGACCAGGAGGAGGGAGUUUCCAAGGCAGAGCUGGCUGAUCCUAUCGGAGGCCUGACAUCUCUCAGCUCGGUUUUCUAUCAUUCCUCAAAACCGAGUUGGAGCAACGCUUCCCUUCGGAACCAGUCGUCAAUAGAGAAAUCCAGGACAGUUUAAUAAAAGACUAAAACCAUAGAAA